rnacentral:rRNA from 1 species
AUGGGGCGGAGGGAGAUCAUGGACCCCGGCAGCGGCGGGCCGAAGAAGAUCCUGGACCCCGGCAGCGGCAAGCCGAUGGAGAUCAUAGGCCUCGGCAGCGGCAAGCUCGAGGACUAUCCCUGCGUGAGGCAGCUCCGUAACCGGCGGCUCCUCACCUACCUCUGGCUCCAGGGCUUCGACACCGCCUACGACAGCGUCGUGCAUGAGUCGGAUGUGCAGCAGAUGAGCAGGCUGCAUCUGCGGCAGCUGGUGGUCUGGGGCCAGUGGAGAGAAGCCGUCAAGUACAUAAACCGCUUCCUGCCGCCGGCCGACGACCGGGGCGUCGAGACCCGUUCCCUUCUCUUAUUCCUCCACACGCUCUGGUCUCUGGCCAACGUCGCCGCGUGCUCAGCGGGCGGCUUCGUCAACGACUCCGUACGCCGCGACCUUCACUUCCUGACGAACCUUUGCUGCCGCAACGUCAAGCUCAACUCCAUCCUCCAAUACACGCUCCACUCACCGCAAUUCACGGCGUCCCUGGACUGGAAACUGGUGAGGGAGAAGGCAUCGUUGAUUGCCGAUGACUGGGCUCUUGAGACUCCUGAGUUAAGACGCAUGUUGCAAUUACCCGGUGGCCGGGGUCUCGCGCAGGACUUGCUUCCCAUCGGCCCCCUUCGUCCAAGGCGCCAC